rnacentral:ncRNA from 1 species
UUUCCUUCAAGAUAGCUGGAGCUCUGGCUGAGUUUUAUUGGGUAAAGCGAAUGAUUAGAGGCAUUGUUCUCAAACUUUAAAUAGGUAAAGCAGCUGGCAUUAGUAUAGCUUCAACAGUUGGUCCCA